rnacentral:rRNA from 1 species
GUCUGCAUUCCUCUGAAUAUGGAACCAUUUAGCUAGUCUUGGCAGAUUUCAAAAAAGCUAAGCAGGAAAAUGGCUAGCUAGUACUUGGGUGGGAGACCAUCAGCAAAACCUAGGAAUGUGAGCU